CCGCUGGCCUAACCCGUAAGGGAGGGAGGCGUCGAAGGUGGGAUUGGCGAUUGGGACGAAGUCGUAACAAGGUAGCCGUACCGGAAGGUGCGGCUGGAUCACCUCCUUUCUAAGGAGCA
rnacentral:rRNA from 1 species